GCGUGUGUGUGUAAAUGUUGAACUGGGGAGGCGUGUCCGGAUGUAACUUAUUUGGAUUUAAAGUGACAGAGCCCUGAAACAGCUCAUCCUGAA